rnacentral:rRNA from 1 species
UACGGAGGAUGCGAGCGUUAUCCGGAUUUAUUGGGUUUAAAGGGUGCGCAGGCGGAUUUUUAAGUCAGCGGUCAAAUCGUGGGGCUCAACCCCAUCCAGCCGUUGAAACUGGCAGUCUCGAGUUGGAGAGAAGUAUGCGGAAUGCGCGGUGUAGCGGUGAAAUGCAUAGAUAUCGCGCAGAACCCCGAUUGCGAAGGCAGCCUGCCAAGCCAUGACUGACGCUGAUGCACGAAAGCGUGGGGAUCGAACAGG